GCACCGGUGGUGUAGUGGUAGCAUUUUAGCCUUCCAAGCUGACGACUCGGGUUCAAAUCCCGACCGGUGCA
rnacentral:tRNA from 4 species